GCUCUGAAAGUAAGAGUUGUAGGAAACUGAACUCUCCUUCCAUGUUUCUUCACGAGUUCAGUUUUCUCCAACAUCUUAUCUUCAGAGC
rfam:Triticum urartu cultivar G1812 contig790246, whole genome shotgun sequence.